rnacentral:rRNA from 1 species
AUUGAACGCUGGCGGCAGGCCUAACACAUGCAAGUCGAGCGGAUGAAGGGAGCUUGCUCCUGGAUUCAGCGGCGGACGGGUGAGUAAUGCCUAGGAAUCUGCCUGGUAGUGGGGGAUAACGUCCGGAAACGGGCGCUAAUACCGCAUACGUCCUGAGGGAGAAAGUGGGGGAUCUUCGGACCUCACGCUAUCAGAUGAGCCUAGGUCGGAUUAGCUAGUUGGUGGGGUAAAGGCCUACCAAGGCGACGAUCCGCAACUGGUCUGAGAGGAUGAUCAGUCACACUGGAACUGAGACACGGUCCAGACUCCUACGGGAGGCAGCAGUGGGGAAUAUUGGACAAUGGGCGAAAGCCUGAUCCAGCCAUGCCGCGUGUGUGAAGAAGGUCUUCGGAUUGUAAAGCACUUUAAGUUGGGAGGAAGGGCAGUAAGUUAAUACCUUGCUGUUUUGACGUUACCAACAGAAUAAGCACCGGCUAACUUCGU